GGAUUGUAGCUCAGUGGUAGAGCACUUGCCUAGCACAUGUGAGGCCCUGGGUUUGAUCCUCAGCACCA
rnacentral:tRNA from 1 species